ensembl:lncRNA
UGGGAGUGAUGACGCAGAUCCCAUGCGCUGUGCGGCGCUCUCAGGAAUCCUCACCGCCUCUGGUCACCUGGGCCCGGACUUGUAGGUGCAUGUGGCCCAGCUAGAUUCGCUUUGAGAAAUACGUGCUGCAGGCGUUGGUGUGGAAUGUCUCAAGUUUGUCUUCAUGUGACCGAACCAGACUUGGGUCCAUUUACCCAUGUGCAGUAAAGCCAUUCUACUGACACCGGGUUGUGGUGAAGGAAAGUGCAGUUUAUUCCACGGUGUCAAGCAAGGAGUCCAGGACAGCCAGAGCUUCAAAGACCUGAACUCCCCAAAGGCUUUCUGGGCAACAUUUUAAAAAACAGCAUGAGGGAGGAGGUUGGAGGAUGUGAUCAGCUCGUGGACAUUCCUCUGACUGGUUGGUGGUGAGGUAGUUGAGAGUCAACGUCAUCAACCUUCUGAUUCCAACCAGGCUGGGGUCUACAUACUGUGGACAACAUACAGUUAAGUUCUUCUGCCUGAUGAGGGUUUCAGGGUCUGCCACAGAGCUCAAGGCCAUGGCUUAUAAUAUUAUCUGUAGCCCUUGAGGAAGAGCUAAAGGUCCUUGACUUUGUUUAAUGGCUAGACUAUUACCGUUUUGUUUUGCUUGACAAUUUGCCUGUCUUUCUGCAUUUUCUCACUUCUCUGAUUAAAUUUAUCC